rnacentral:rRNA from 1 species
UACGGGGGGGGCAAGCGUUGUUCGGAAUUACUGGGCGUAAAGGGCUCGUAGGCGGCCAACUAAGUCGGAUGUGAAAUCCCCAGGCUUAACCUGGGAACUGCAUCCGAUACUGGAUGGCUUGAAUCCGGGAGAGGGAUGCAGAAUUCCAGGUGUAGCGGUGAAAUGCGCAGAUAUCGGGAGGAACACCGGUGGCGAAGGCGGUUCUCUGGGCCUGACCUGACGCUGAGGAGCGAAAGCGUGGGGAGCAAACAGG